GAUCAAACGUUGAAGGGCUUCUGACGGAUGCCUUGGCGUAGAGAGGCGAUGAAGGACGUGGCAAGCUGCGAUAAGAACCGGGGAGGCGCUAGCACCCUUUGAUCCGGUUAUUUCCGAAUGGGGGAACCCACCUUUACAGUCUUCCAACUCUGUCUCUUCGGAGGCAGCGAUUGGCGGAUUGUUGAAAGGUAUAAUGAGCUGAAUACAUAGGCUUCAUUAAGCGAACGCGGGGAACUGAAACAUCUCAGUACCCGUAGGAAAGGACAUCAACCGAGACUCCCGUAGUAGUGGCGAGCGAACCGGGACCAGGCCAGUGCUCUUGUGAAAUAAAGACGAACGAUCUGGAAAGGUCGGCCAUAGUGGGUGAAAGCCCCGUAGUCAUCAAACAGCAAGAGACUCGAGUAGGGCGGGACACGUGAAAUCCUGUCUGAACAUGGGGGGACCACCCUCCAAGCCUAAGUACUCCUCUACGACCGAUAGUGAACAAGUACCGUGAGGGAAAGGUGAAAAGCACCCCGACAAGGGGAGUGAAACAGAUCCUGAAAUCGGAAGCCUACAAGCAGUCGGAGCCGCCAAGCGCGGUGACGGCGUACCUUUUGUAUAAUGGGUCAGCGACUUCAUGUGUCGAGCAAGCUUAAGCCGUUAGGUGUAGGCGCAGCGAAAGCGAGUCUGAAUAGGGCGCUAAGUUCGACGUAUGACGACCCGAAACCAGGUGAUCUAUCCAUGAGCAGGUUGAAGGUUGGGUAACACCAACUGGAGGACCGAACCGGUGAAUGUUGAAAAAUUCUCGGAUGACUUGUGGAUAGGGGUGAAAGGCCAAUCAAACCUGGACAUAGCUGGUUCUCCGCGAAAUCUAUUUAGGUAGAGCGUCCGACGAAUUCCUUAGGGGGUAGAGCACUGGAUGGUUGCGGGCUGCGCGAGCGGUACCAAUACUAACCAAACUCCGAAUACCUAAGAGAACUAUCGGGCAGACACACGGCGGGUGCUAACGUCCGUCGUGAAAAGGGAAACAACCCUAACCAUCAUCUAAGGCCCCCAAGUACUGGCUAAGUGGGAAACGAUGUGGGAUUGCUUUGACAAUCAGGAGGUUGGCUUAGAAGCAGCCAUCCUUUAAAGAAAGCGUAACAGCUCACUGAUCAAGCGAUCCUGCGCGGAAAAUGUAACGGGGCUCAAGCCAGUCGCCGAAGAUAUGGGUUUGCACUUUGUGCAAGCGGUAGCGGAGCGUUCCGUAAGCCGGUGAAGGUCAGGCGUGAGCCUGGCUGGAGGUAUCGGAAGUGAGAAUGCUGACAUGAGUAACGAUAAGAGUGUGAGAGACACUCUCGCCGAAAGACCAAGGGUUCCUGCGUAAAGCUAAUCUGCGCAGGGUUAGUCGGCCCCUAAGGCGAGGCUGAAAAGCGUAGUCGAUGGGAAGCAGGUAAAUAUUCCUGCACCAGCUGGAAGUGACGGAUGGCAUAACUUGUACGGGCUUAUUGGAUUGUCCGUGCAGGGGCGUUGUCCCAGGAAAUAACUCCAGCAGAGACCGUACCCGAAACCGACACAGGUGGUCAGGUAGAGCAUACCAAGGCGUUUGAGAGAACUAUGUUGAAGGAACUCGGCAAAUUGCACGCGUAACUUCGGAAUAAGCGUGACUCACCCUGCGCAAGCAGGACUGAGUGGCACAAGCCAGGGGGUAGCGACUGUUUAGCAAAAACACAGGGCUCUGCGAAGCAGCAAUGCGACGUAUAGGGUCUGACGCCUGCCCGGUGCCUGAAGGUUAAAGGGAGGAGUGAAAGCUCCGAACUGAAGCCCAGGUAAACGGCGGCCGUAACUAUAACGGUCCUAAGGUAGCGAAAUUCCUUGUCGGGUAAGUUCCGACCUGCACGAAUGG
rnacentral:rRNA from 1 species